UACGGAGGGAGCUAGCGUUGUUCGGAAUUACUGGGCGUAAAGCGCACGUAGGCGGCUUUGUAAGUUAGAGGUGAAAGCCCGGGGCUCAACCCCGGAAUUGCCUUUAAGACUGCAUCGCUUGAAUCCGGGAGAGGUGAGUGGAAUUCCGAGUGUAGAGGUGAAAUUCGUAGAUAUUCGGAGGAACACCAGAGGCGAAGGCGGCCGGCUGGACCUGACCUGACGCUGAGGCACGAAGGCGUGGGGAGCGAACGGG
rnacentral:rRNA from 1 species